rnacentral:rRNA from 1 species
GACGAACGCUGGCGGCGUGCUUAACACAUGCAAGUCGAAUGAUGAUGCCAGCUUGCUGGUGGAUUAGUGGCGAACGGGUGAGUAACACGUGAGCAACCUGCCCCUGACUUCGGGAUAACCGCGGGAAACCGUGGCUAAUACCGGAUAUGACGCGCUAUCGCAUGGUGGUGUGUGGAAAGAUUUAUCGGUUGGGGAUGGGCUCGCGGCCUAUCAGCUUGUUGGUGGGGUGAUGGCCUACCAAGGCGACGACGGGUAGCCGGCCUGAGAGGGUGACCGGCCACACUGGGACUGAGACACGGCCCAGACUCCUACGGGAGGCAGCAGUGGGGAAUAUUGCACAAUGGGCGCAAGCCUGAUGCAGCGACGCCGCGUGAGGGAUGACGGCCGUCGGGUUGUAAACCUCUUUCAGUAGGGAAGAAGGCCUUCGGGUUGACGGUACCUGCAGAAGAAGCGCCGGCUAACUACGUG